ACGGGUGAGUAACACGUAGGCAACCUGCCCUCAAGCUUGGGACAACUACCGGAAACGGUAGCUAAUACCGAAUAGUUGUUUUCUUCUCCUGAAGAGAACUGGAAAGACGGAGCAAUCUGUCACUUGGGGAUGGGCCUGCGGCGCAUUAGCUAGUUGGUGGGGUAACGGCUCACCAAGGCGACGAUGCGUAGCCGACCUGAGAGGGUGAUCGGCCACACUGGGACUGAGACACGGCCCAGACUCCUACGGGAGGCAGCAGUAGGGAAUCUUCCGCAAUGGGCGAAAGCCUGACGGAACAGUGCCGCGUGAGUGAUGAAGGUUUUCGGAUCGUAAAGCUCUGUUGCCAGGGAAGAACGCUUGGGAGAGUAACUGCUCUCAAGGUGACGGUACCUGAGAAGAAAGCCCCGGCUAACUACGUGCCAGCAGCCGCGGUAAUACGUAAGGGGCAAGCGUUGUCCGGAAUUAUUGGGCGUAAAGCGCGCGCAGGCGGUCAUUUAAGUCUGGUGUUUAAUCCCGGGGCUCAACCCCGGAUCGCACUGGAAACUGGGUGACUUGAGUGCAGAAGAGGAGAGUGGAAUUC
rnacentral:rRNA from 1 species